rnacentral:rRNA from 1 species
CCUACGGGACGCUGCAGUGAGGAAUAUUGGUCAAUGGGCGCGAGCCUGAACCCGCCAAGUAGCGUGAAGGAUGACUGCCCUACGGGUUGUAAACUUCUUUUAUAAAGGAAUAAAGUGAGGCACGUGUGCCUUUUUGUAUGUACUUUAUGAAUAAGGAACGGCUAACUCCGUGCCAGCAGCCGCGGUACUACGGAGGAUCCGAGCGUUAUCCGGAUUUAUUGGGUUUAAAGGGAGCGUAGAUGGGUUGUUAAGUCAGUUUUUAAAGUUUGCGGCUCAACCGUAAAAUUGCAAUUGAUACUGGCAGCCUUGAGUACAGUUGAGGUAUGCGGAAUUCGUGGUGUAGCGGUGAAAUGCUUAGAUAUCACGAAGAACUCCGAUUGCGAAGGCAGCUUACUAAACUGCCACUGACAUUGAUGCUCGAAAGUGUGGGUAUCAAACAGGAUUAGAUACCCGUGUAGUC